rnacentral:tRNA from 1 species
AAAGCUUAUGCCAUUUAAUUGACUUCUAAUCAAAUUUUAUAGCGGUUGAAUUCCGUUAAGCUUUU